GACGAACGCUGGCGGCGUGCUUAACACAUGCAAGUCGAGCGGAAAGGCCCUUUCGGGGGUACUCGAGCGGCGAACGGGUGAGUAACACGUGAGUAAUCUGCCCCUGGCUUUGGGAUAGCCACCGGAAACGGUGAUUAAUACUGGAUACGACCACUUCUCGCAUGGGAUGGUGGUGGAAAGUUUUUCGGCCAGGGAUGUGCUCGCGGCCUAUCAGCUUGAUGGUGAGGUAAUGGCUCACCAUGGCUUCGACGGGUAGCCGGCCUGAGAGGGUGACCGGUCACACUGGGACUGAGACACGGCCCAGACUCCUACGGGAGACAGCAGUGGGGAAUAUUGGACAAUGGGCGGAAGCCUUAUCCAGCAACGCCGCGUGAGGGAUGACGGCCUUCGGGUUGUAAACCUCUUUCAGCAGGGACGAAGCGCAAGUGACGGUACCUGCAGAAGAAGCACCGGCCAACUACGUGCCAGCCGCCGCAGUAA
rnacentral:rRNA from 1 species